rnacentral:rRNA from 1 species
GACGAACGCUGGCGGCGUGCCUAAUACAUGCAAGUUGAGCGCUGAAGGUUGGUACUUGUACCGACUGGAUGAGCAGCGAACGGGUGAGUAACGCGUGGGGAAUCUGCCUUUGAGCGGGGGACAACAUUUGGAAACGAAUGCUAAUACCGCAUAAAAACUUUAAACACAAGUUUUAAGUUUGAAAGAUGCAAUUGCAUCACUCAAAGAUGAUCCCGCGUUGUAUUAGCUAGUUGGUGAGGUAAAGGCUCACCAAGGCGAUGAUACAUAGCCGACCUGAGAGGGUGAUCGGCCACAAUGGGACUGAGACACGGCCCAAACUCCUACGGGAGGCAGCAGUAGGGAAUCUUCGGCAAUGGACGAAAGUCUGACCGAGCAACGCCGCGUGAGUGAAGAAGGUUUUAGGAUCGUAAAACUCUGUUGGUAGAGAAGAACGUUGGUGAGAGUGGAAAGCUCAUCAAGUGACGGUAACUACACAGAAAGGGACGGCUAACUACGUG